UACGUAGGGGGCAAGCGUUGUCCGGAAUCAUUGGGCGUAAAGCGCGUGUAGGCGGUUCGGUAAGUCUGCUGUGAAAGUCCAAGGCUCAACCUUGGGAUGCCGGUGGAUACUGUCGGGCUAGAGUGCGGAAGAGGCGAGUGGAAUUCCCGGUGUAGCGGUGAAAUGCGCAGAUAUCGGGAGGAACACCAAUUGCGAAGGCAGCUCGCUGGGACGUAACUGACGCUGAGACGCGAAAGCGUGGGGAGCAAACAGG
rnacentral:rRNA from 1 species